AUUUUUAAAAAUCUAUGUCCAUAUUUUCUUGAACAAUCCAAAAAAUCACUUGAAAGCUUAUUUUUUUUAAAUCUUUGUCUAAAGAUGUCUUCUGCACUGGGGUCUUCAUUCUCCAUUCAACAGGGAAGUUAACACCCAAGGAACAACUCUGAACCUAUACUUCUCCCUUCCUAUGGAGUGCCUUCAGCUCACCUCCUCAAUGAACCACUUUCAACGAAAUCCUUUUCUCACCAUCUGCUUUGUGGGAACAUAAAACUAAGAGAACAAUGCUGGAAAUCACAAUAGCAGCUGUUCCAAGUGGUCAACAUUUGGGAAAAUACAUAGCAUUAGAAAGGAGUGCUGGGACACAUCAUUCCUGGAAGAAGCAGGUUCUGAGCCCAUGUAUACACUCUUGUUAUUUAAUAUGGAUGACUCCGGGUCACUCAGCAAUCGAAGAAAGAAAAGACAAAGCUUUCAUGUUUGCUUUCCACUUUCUCUGGGCCUAGAGGAGUUAAAAGGCAGAAUGUGAAAGCCAAAGAGAACAAAAACAAGCUCAUUUCUAAUGAAGACUUUGAUUCAAGUUUUUACUUUUGGAGCUUCAAGUUCAGUGUAAGUCUUCCUAUUUAAGCAAAAUACUUUAUUCUAAUUGAUAUGAAAUUUUAUUUAUUAA
rnacentral:lncRNA from 1 species